GCUGGAAGUAAGUAGCCUGUAAAGACUUGGCAGACCCAAACAUACUGUGAGGGUUUGCUGGGAAGGCCUGGCUGAACCAUCUGUCAGGUAGGUCCUCAAAGGGGACAAUGAAUCAGAGUGGACCAUGCUCUCCAACCCUAUUGUCUCUGCUGCUGUUUGUGGCAGAGGUUGCAAGGUUUAUGGGGCCUGUUGAGGUGGCAAUCCCUGAAUCUGGUCUAUCUGUCAUGGUGCCUCUGUCAGUCUCCUCCCCCUCCCCUCUCCGCUUGGCUGCUGAUCCAUCCCAGCUGCGACCACUCACCUCAUCACCAUGCCUGCCUUCUUAAGGAGCUCCAGAAUCAUCAUUCCUUGCCAGUCCGUUGCCCCUGAUGGAAUUCCUCACCAUGAGUGGUCGCCAGUCUCAGCUUCAGCCUCGAUCCCCAGUCUGGUCUUCUCCUGCGGUCACACCACGAGCCACUGCCUCGGACCUCUACUCACGCUCUACCUCCUAUCUCUCCAUUAAACCUUUUUGCCUACCACG